UUUCAAUUUUUAUAUAACACUUUAAAAAAACAAUAAUAUGAAUAUAUUGUAUACUAUGAGACAAUUUAUCUUUGUUACAAGGAGGUCAUAGGUACUCCUAACCAUUAGAUGCAAAAUUAGAUGGCUUAAGGUGUGUCACGAAGUUCAAGAAAAUUUUUUUGAACUGAGUCUUUGUCAAUGGCACGCUUACAACCAUCCAAUUUGAAGCUUGACGGACUAGAAUGUUUGUGACUUCCUUGUACCAAAAGUAAAUGGUCUCCUUGUAUACUUUUCCAUAUGUAUAUAUAUGUUAUCAUCAUCCUCAUCAUCAUCAUCAUCAUCAUCGGAGCCUUUUUCCAACUAACUGUGGUCGGCUACACGAAUCUUGGUCCGCCAUUCUGCUCUAUUAAGGGCCAUACCCUCGGAGAUUUUGGAUUCAUGGAUAGUUAUGACAAAGUUUUACGGAGGCUGCCAACUUAACACAUCCCACCUCUUUCUCCCAGGCUUGGGAUGGGUUAAGGGUGUGUGUAUAUAUCAACUAUUGUAAUGUGAGCUCGACUUGUGCUCCUUUCCAUCUAGAUGUGACAUCACCCUCAGGCCAGCCCAGCAUAGCUUGGCAACUGAGAAGUUGGUAGCCUGCCUUCAAAUUCGUGCAUAAGGGCAAAAACACUCUAGCAACGUUUAAGCUAUUGUUGAAGAGGGCGUACGACGGAUAGCUUUUUCGUGGUUCCACUCCUAUAGGUGGAAAGGAUUGAUCAAGGUGUUCCUAAGCUUAUAAAGUGCUUCCUCAAUCCAAAAUACAUAUGCUACAUAUAUCAAGGUGCUCCUAGG
rnacentral:lncRNA from 1 species